AUGUAUACACACUCUAAGACCUAUACCUAGGAGAGAUCAACCGCGUAACACAACCCCUUUGGAUCUUCUUCUUCGUUCCAACAACAAUAGACCUUAGGAGACAUAUACACACAUAGAGACGGAUACACCGUAGACCAAGGAGGACCCCCCAAUGUUUCUUCUUCUUCAGACACCCGAAGCAGCCAUGAGAGAAGCUUAACGCCACCGACCAACAGCCUAACGCCACCGACCAACAGCCUAACGCCGGACACAUGCACACACGCACCGACAGGCUGUCGUUCUUCCGCCUUCGAGCUCGCCAGAAAAUGGACAACAGCCGUACACCCUUCUUCUUCGGCACUACCUCAAUAGCAUCACACACGCACACACGCACACACGAACAGAGUUAGGGAACGGAUAUAGAGCUAGAAUAGGCAGACACGAACAGAGAAAUCGAAAGUAGUACAAAAAAAUUACUUCGUCUUCUCCAUUCUCGAUUUGGUUCUUAGUUUUCUGCAACAUGGAGUUUAAUUGAGGUUCGGAGCCGAAUUUGAGUUUGAAUUAUGUGGAGGUCGCCGUUGAAGGUAGUCUGUUCCGAAUUCGAUGAGGUUUCCGGUUCGAGAUUUCGAUUUUGCUCGCGAUUUCUUGCUCGACUUUGGUGCUGUUGUUUCGCUUGAAUUUGGAAGUUAACAUCUGAAUCAGUUGGCCCAUUUUCUAAUUUCAGGUUCAUUUCUUCUCUAUUUCUCUAUGGCUUGUGAUUUUGUGUUAUGUUGGAUGAAUAUUGAGAUAUUAGCCUACUGUUUAUAGCAUGUCUUGGUUUAAAUUUUGCUAGAAUUUGCCGGAACAAGUAUUAUGUGGUUCAUCUAGUGAAAAUUUAAGAUUACAUUGAAGUUAUAGGUUAAAAUUUCCUCAUCUAGAUAUCAGUACAUUGGUUUAAAGCUCAGAUGCGCGUCUUAGAGUAAUCGACUAUUUUUUUUAAAAAUGGAUUCAUAUAUACCUCAAAUGGAUUCAUAGUUGGUGAUAUUCAUUAGUCUGUACCAUGUUCUUAACAUAUGCUUAGAUUUUACUUUCAAUUUCAAUCAAUAGCAUGCGUCUGCUAGCUCUUUUCAUGAAUUUGUUAUAGUUUCAUUAUUAAAGUAAGUUCACGUAUUUUCGCUUUGAGUUAUCCCAUUUGAGUCCAAAUUUGGCCAUCACUUAGUAAGUUUAUGUUUGGGGCAUUAAAAAGUAAAAAAAAAAUGAAAAUUUGGAUCUUAAAUCUUCAUUGCUUUUGUUUAUAGCUUUAUUGUUCGUUCGGAUUGAUAGGAUCAUGUUUUAGGACGACCACACCCGGGUAAAAGAAUCUUUAGGCGCAUUUUGAAUUUAUUAUCGUGAUCGCAUAUACAUUCGCGUGAUAUGAUUACAGUUUCUAAGAUGAAUAUUCGUAGUUUGCUUUAGGCAGGUUCAAUAUACCAUCGUGGUUUUGUACACGUUCGCGUGACAUAAUUAAGAUUUUCGAAAUAAAUCGAGGUAUGCGUUCGUGCAACUUCGGCCAAACUUUUUUAAUAUUAAUAAAGCGUUAUUAAUUGUGGACACGUAUGCGUGAUAUAGUUUUUGAUGCGCCAAACAAAUGAGUACACUACGCAUGACCUGUUUUAAAAUAAUUUCCUAAAAAAAGGAGGCAAAUGCACAUAGGUUCUAAAAUGGGUAAUUAAACAAUUUAAUUGAGCAAAGUAUGAUCAAAAGGAACAUGCUAAAACCACGAAAAAUGAGAAUGCUUAACACAUUCUCACGGGUUAACAGAAUUCCUUACCCGAAUUUAUGUGUUCACAGACCAUAAAUAGGAGUCAACUUUCCUUGAUUUGGGAGUUAAACCGGUGACUUGGGGCACCAUAAAUUAUCCCAAGUGGCGACUCUGAAUUUAAUAUAAAUAGUCCAGUUUUGAUUUUCACUUAAAUUAGAAAAAACUCCCCUAUACCCCUUCUCUGGUGUAGAAAAAGGAGGUGUGACAGCUCUAACGACUCUGCUAGAGACAAGAACCCAGAAUCUCUAGUUUAGAGUUCAGGAAAUCGAGCUUGUUUUUAUGAUUUUUACUUGGCUUUAUUUAUUGUUCAUAUUAUCGUAUUUGUGGACCUAGUAUGCUAAAUGUUGCUUAUUUAUCGCGUUCAUAUUACUUGAACUGUAUUAAACUGUCUUCAUACGCCUUCCUUCUGAGUCUUCAAAAAAAAAAAUGGUGCAUACGUUCAUGUGGCCCAAUUUUUCUGUUAGAAGUUAUACCAAAUAGAACGAGGAUGGGGCAGCAACAAGGCCGGGUAGACUUUCGUGUUAUUGGUACGUUGACCCCUCUUUGGCUCGAGUUGUCCGCUCGGGUAAGCCAGCUCAAGAACACAACCCCAGAUUUAAACUUAGAAUAACAUAACCUCAUGCUGGAUCCUUAGUAGGAACCUUUAUUUUCAUCACGUGCAUUUGACGUAGGGGACUCAACAUAGGAGUUGGGUCAGUCUAGGACAGGUGUAUCCAAAAAUACAAGACCAUCCUGUUGCAUCCUAUGUGCUCCAUAUUGCAAUCUUCAAGGGUAAAAGGAUUAUUUGACAGACCAGUGAUGAUUGAGGGUAAAUGAGAAAGAAAAGAAGGUGAAGUGUGAAAAUAAAGAAAGUAGGGCCCAAUUAGAAUUUUUUUCACACUUUUCAAGAAAAGACAAAAAAAAUAAAAAUGAAAUAAUCCAAAAAGAUUUUGCAUUUUCCCAUCAUUUUUCAAAAAAAUAAGAAAAAAAGAGAAAAGAAAAUCCAAUUUUUUUGCAUGUUUCAUCAUUUUCAAAGAAAAAGAAGACAAAAAAAAUAUUUUCUCUAAAUUAGUUAUUUUUUUAAAUUUUCGUCCAUAUCCAAUCUGGCCGAACUACGCAUACCCGAUUCUCGUCUUUCGGGGCGUGAUACGUAGGCAAGCCACAUAGGGUCCGGUGAUCCUAGUGAGUUUAGGUUCUUGACUUCGCGGGGUCUUAGCCAAAUAUUGCAUUUUAAGCCAGUUUUAGUCACAUAGGUUAAUUUUAAAAAAAUAGUCACAAUCAUGUCUUGCAUGUGUCUAAGAGGGGGUUAUUAUCUCGCAUAGAGUUCUAGGUCUUUGACUUAUUUGGUCUUAAUUUUCUCAUACAUGUGCAGAUCUACUUACCGAAGUUUGGGCAUGACAGACGCCCUAGGACCAUCCAGUCAGAGUCGUUCAUUCAGGAGUUUGCUUAAAGAGAUUUUUUCUUAGUUACUCCAUCUGUUUCAUAUUGUUUGAGGUAGUUUGACUCGGCAUGGAGUUUAAGAAAAAAGAAGAAGACUAUUAAAACUUGUGGUCUUAAAAAAUUAAGGGGUAAAAGAUUUAUGGGGCCAUACCAUUUGUGUGGCUAUAAAAGCUUCUCACUAAGGGUAAAAAAGGUAAAAUGAAGAGUUUAAAGUUGAAUUAUUUUCAAAUUUUGAAAUGUGUCAUUUAUUUUGGAACAGACUAAAAAGGAAAUUAUCUCAAACAAUAUGAAACGGAUGGAGUAUUAUGUUUUGAGUUUGUUCUUCUUUUUAUGUUAUCUUUUGCCUUCUAGUUUUGUACAUAUCGAGUCUUUUAGGUGAUGUUAGAGUCUUUCAUAGUCUGUUUAAGUUUUUCGAGUCUUUUGUUAUUGUAUUACCUAUUUUGUAUUUGAAAAUGUGUUAUAAAUCAAAAAUUCAAAAAGAAAUUGUAUUUUUAUAUUUCCGUUAGAAGUUUUCUUUAGAAUACUAAUUCUAGAAUAAAAAAAGAAAUC
rnacentral:lncRNA from 1 species